CCCUUGCGCCACCUAAGAAAGCCCACACCCACAUAUUUAUUUUCAAAUAUUUUUUCUAUGAUAUCUAUAUCUAAAGAAUGUAAUCUCACACCACUUAUUCUAGAUAUAUGAAUCAGAUUUGAUUUGGUUCAUUAUGAAAAGUGAUAUGGGUUUAUUAUGGAAAGUGGUUUGGUUUUAUUUCUUUUUUGAAAAAGUCUCUCUUCACAAAAACUCCUCUCCCCUCACUUGCGCUAACUUUCUCCAUGCCUACCUUCUCUUUAUGAUGCCUCUUUUGUGCAUGGUUUCCACAUCUCCAUGCAGAAAAUAAGGGAAGGGGCAUCCAAGAGUUGGACGCCCCAUAGUUUCCUUGUUUGACUAGGUCUUUUGACCUAGUCUACCUUAUAUAUUAAUGCCUCCUAUAUGAUGAUUUGAGAGAGUCAAAAAAAUCUGUGGUUUUUUCAUAAAAAAAGUAGAGAAGAAAGAGGAUGGCAAGGAUGUUUUGAGGCACCAAUUUUCUUGGAGGAGAAUCUUCUAUCAAGACAUCAAAAGUUGAUGUCUUGUAGAGACAAAAGGUAAGAAAAAAGAUUGUCUUCUCUUAUUGUUUUCCUUUCAGUUUAUUUACUCUUUACUUUUGUAUUUUAUGUGAUAAAAAUCUGAGAGAGAAAGAGGGAUGGCAUGGUGCAUUUAUGCUCCAAUGAGUUGGGGCAUGGUGAUCUGAUUUUGGACAUGAUCUGAUCAUGUCCUGAUGAGAGAAGAAGAAGAAAAGAAAGUCUUCUCUUAAGGUUUCUUUUAGAACCCUUCUUCUCCAUCAAUCAUGAGAUUUUUUUUUUAUGAGAAAAAUUAGAUAACAUAAGAUCUGAAAGUUUGGAAAACAUCUAGAGAAGAAGGUCUCCUCAUGUCC
rnacentral:lncRNA from 1 species